rnacentral:misc_RNA from 1 species
GUGAAUCAUCAAAUCUUUGAACGCAAAUUGCACUCUCUGGUAUUCCGGGGAGCAUGCCUGUUUGAGGGUCGGUUUAAAUAAAAAUCGGUGUGGUUGCUGCCUUUCGUGGUGACGCACCGGGGAUGGGUCGUCUUGCCUUAGGGUAAGUGAACUACAAUUUGGCUUGAUUUUUUUCGAACGUAUUUAAUUGAUUUUACGUAAGUUUGA